rnacentral:rRNA from 1 species
CCAAUAGCGUAUAUUAAAGUUGUUGCAGUUAAAAAGCUCGUAGUUGAAUUUCGGGGUUCAUCCGUUGGUCGGGCUUUUUUGGUCUGUACUGGCGUGAUGGAUUCCUACCUUCUGAAUAACCGGCAUGUCAUUAAUUUGGUGCGCCGGGGAAGCAGGACUGUUACCUUGAAAAAAUUAGAGUGCUUAAAGCAGGCUAUCGCCUGAAUACAUUAGCAUGGAAUAAUGAAAUAGGACUGCAUGGUUCUAUUUUGUUGGUUUCUAGGAUCACCGUAAUGAUUAAUAGGGAUAGUUGGGGGCAUUAGUAUUCAAUUGUCAGAGGUGAAAUUCUUGGAUUUAUUGAAGACUAACGUCUGCGAAAGCAUUUGCCAAGGAUGUUUUCAUUAAUCAAGAACGAAAGUUAGGGGAUCGAAGACGAUCAGAUACCGUCGUAGUCUUAACCAUAAACUAUGCCGACUAGGGAUCGGACGAUGUUAAUUUUUUAAUGACUCGUUCGGCGCCUUACG